rnacentral:lncRNA from 1 species
AUGCUGCUGCUGCCCCUGCUGUGGGCAGUGGGGAGAGGGGCCGGGGGAGCUGGACUUCACUGACCUUCAUUCUCCACAGGGGACAUGGUUCAGGAGGCAAUAUUCUGGCUGGAAGUGCCUGAGCCCAUGCGUCUUUGUGCCCUGCUCCAUCUUCUCCUCAAAAAACAGCUGCAAUGAUUCUACCGCAGCUGUGGUUACUGGUUCUGAGAUGGGGCCCGUAUAUACCAGCACACUCCAGUGUCCACAAACAACCCAGAUCACAACAUUCAGGGGGAGACCCAGGGCCGAUUCCACCUCAGUGGAGACCCCCGGACCAACACCUGCUCCCUGGACAUCACAGAAGCACAGAGGCGGGGAUGCAGGGACGCACUUGUACAGGGUGGAGAGAGGGCUUAUGCAAGAUAUAAUUACAGUGGGAACCAGCUCUCUGUGCACGUGGGGAAUCAGGGCAAGAAAGAACACACUGAUCCAGGGGACCCUAGAAUCUGGACAUUCCAGGAACAUAACCUGUAAGAGGAAGACCUCCCCCCGCCCACUUUCUCUUGGAUCAAUGUGGUCCCCACCUCCCUGGGAAAGAAUCCUCACUCCUUGGUGCUCACCUUACCCCAGGGUUGCACAGCUUCACCUGAGCCCUUCCCCAGAGCUGGUGCAACCACGGAGAGAGCCAUCCCAAUCAAUCUGUCCUGAAAGCACCUGGCCAGGCCCCUGGGUCCUGGAGUUCACUGGGUUUUGGGAGAAGGGGGCGGAGAAUCUGAGUUACUGGGGGACUCUUCUUGGGGACCUCUGAGGGCAGUCCCUACACCUGGUCUGUGAUGCUGAUGGCAGCCCCCCUGCCAGGCUGUGCUGGUCCCAGGGCAGCCUGACCAUGAUCCCCUCCCAGCUCUUGCAUCCCCAGGUCCUGGAGCUGCCCCAGGUGGUUUCAGGAGACGAAGGAGAAUUCACCUGCCGGGCAUAGGCCCUGCUGGGCUCCCACCCCAUCUCCCUGAGCCUGGCUGUGCAUGGGGAGUGUU